CCACAAGGCCCGUUUUGCGUCCAC
rnacentral:miRNA from 1 species